rnacentral:rRNA from 1 species
CCUACGGGAGGCAGCAGUGAGGAAUAUUGCGCAAUGGGCGAAAGCCUGACGCAGCAACGCCGCGUGGAUGAUGAAGUUCUUCGGAAUGUAAAAUCCUUUUGCAGAGGAAGAAAAUGCUGGUUUACCGGCACUGACGGUACUCUGCGAAUAAGCCACGGCUAACUCUGUGCCAGCAGCCGCGGUAAU